AUAACUCAGCGAUGAAAGAACCCAACCCCCAAUGAUCUGGGCCAGCUCAUGAAGGUGUUUUGGUAUAAUCGGGAACUGCAAAAAAGAAGAUUCCUGGGAUCGUAGAUCUCGAACGUGUCUUCGUCCUGCACGCUGGCGUCUUUCACCUUCCUGCUUCUGUCCUCAAACUGAAGCACGUGGGACAUCCUACAACAAAACAGAUAAAACACAGCUCAGUUUUUCAGACUCUUACCUGAUCUUCACGAGACACCCCCUUCUUUGGCUGCUGCUUCCGCUUGUCUUCGUACUUCCUCUUCUCCUGAAGGUACUCAACAAGAACGCUGUUGGGGGCAGGCUCCUCCUCUGCACAAGGAAACACACCUUGUUAAACACAUUGAACUGGCGUUUGUGAUUUAAUACCACGUGUCUGUGACCUCUGAAAUAACAAUUUUAUUCUGCUAUAAAGGCAAAAUUAAAAAGUAGGGUAAAAGAAAAAACACUCUGACGCCUAGAUCCAAACUGAGAACUAAUCAAAUUCUUUUAACAAAUUCACUUUAAUCUCUGAUUGCCUUUCUUGAAAAAGCAAAGUUGUUUGCCCCUGUGAAAUUACAUUUACAGAUUUUAAAGAAAUAUUUCUU